rnacentral:rRNA from 1 species
UGGGGAAUCUUAGGCAAUGGGGGAAACCCUGACCUAGCCAUGCCGCGUGGAGGAAGACACCCCUAUGGGGCGUAAACUCCUUUUCUGCGCGAAGAAACCCCCGUUGUUCGGGGCGUGACGGUACCGCAGGAAUAAGGACCGGCUAACUCCGUGCCAGCAGCCGCGGUAAUACGGAGGGUCCAAGCGUUGUCCGGAAUCACUGGGCGUAAAGGGUGUGCAGGUGGGGCAGCAAGUCAGAGGUGAAAGCCCGCGGCUUAACCGCGGAAGUGCCUUUGAAACUGUUGCUCUUGAGUCCCGGAGAGGUUGCCGGAAUUCGUGGUGUAGCGGUGAAAUGCGUAGAUAUCACGAGGAACACCAGAGGCGAAAGCGGGCAACUGGACGGGUACUGACACUGAGGCACGAAAGCGUGGGGAGCAAACA